UACGUAGGGUGCGAGCGUUAAUCGGAAUUACUGGGCGUAAAGCGUGCGCAGGCGGUUUUGUAAGUCUGACGUGAAAUCCCCGGGCUUAACCUGGGAAUUGCGUUGGAGACUGCAAGGCUGGAGUCUGGCAGAGGGGGGUAGAAUUCCACGUGUAGCAGUGAAAUGCGUAGAAAUGUGGAGGAACACCGAUGGCGAAGGCAGCCCCCUGGGUCAAGACUGACGCUCAUGCACGAAAGCGUGGGGAGCAAACAGG
rnacentral:rRNA from 1 species